AAAAAUGGCUAACCGACCGGAGGCUUCUAGCCCAGGCUCAGCAUCACAGGUGGAUGCAGUCUUCAUUCUGGAGAACAGCCACCCUGUCUUCAGUGAGAUUGGUUCUGCCAAACACCGCAUGGAAAUAAACAUCAAUUCUAAAACAUUAUGACACUAGCCUUAUGCCAUGGGCAAACCUUUGACAGGGUGUAACAACUCACUCCAAAGGAAAACUACCCAGUAACUUCAUUGUAUUGUUUUGACAUUUUUAUUUAAAAACUUCUGUGAAUAACCUUUACUCAUUGUUACAAAGUCAUUGCUUUGCUGUUAAUGAUAUGCAGUGGUGCUCAUAAGUUUACAUGCCCAUGCUUUAGUUGACUAAGAAGAGGAUUAAAAAAAAAA